GGUUAGUCUUGAAUUUGAGAAAACAAUAGUCAGUCCUGGAAGCUCGACAGCAAUCAAGCUAACAGCCAGUCCAUUGUCACUUUGUGGAGUUGGCGCUGUUGAUAAAAGUGUCCACUUACUGAAAGAAGAUAAACAGCUUAGUGAAGACCAGAUAAUUGGUGCUUUAAAAUCGUAUGACAUUGCAGGCUACCACUACCCUCGUCAGACCACUUCAGGAUAUACAUAUUGUCAAAAUAAAGGAAAAGCUGAUGGUGAAAGAAGAUUAAUCGAAUCAUCUCAAAAACUCUCUCCUUCUGAAUAUGUAGAUGCUAUCCAAGCCUUUGAGG